rnacentral:rRNA from 1 species
GAUGAACGCUGGCGGCGUGCCUAAUACAUGCAAGUCGAGCGAACGGACGAGAAGCUUGCUUCUCUGAUGUUAGCGGCGGACGGGUGAGUAACACGUGGAUAACCUACCUAUAAGACUGGGAUAACUUCGGGAAACCGUAGCUAAUACCGGAUAAUAUUUUGAACCGCAUGGUUCAAAAGUGAAAGACGGUCUUGCUGUCACUUAUAGAUGGAUCCGCGCUGCAUUAGCUAGUUGGUAAGGUAACGGCUUACCAAGGCAACGAUGCAUAGCCGACCUGAGAGGGUGAUCGGCCACACUGGAACUGAGACACGGUCCAGACUCCUACGGGAGGCAGCAGUAGGGAAUCUUCCGCAAUGGGCGAAAGCCUGACGGAGCAACGCCGCGUGAGUGAUGAAGGUCUUCGGAUCGUAAAACUCUGUUAUUAGGGAAGAACAUAUGUGUAGGUAACUGUGCACAUCUUGACGGUACCUAAGCAGAAAGCCACGGCUAACUACGU